rnacentral:rRNA from 1 species
GACGAACGCUGGCGGCGUGCUUAACACAUGCAAGUCGAACGAAAAUACCAAGCUUGCUUGGUUGAUUAGUGGCGAACGGGUGAGUAACACGUGAGUAACCUGCCCCUUACUUUCCUGGAUAACUGCUCGAAAGGGUAGCUAAUACGGGAUAUUCUGACCAGCCUGCAUGGGUUGGUUUGGAAAGGUUGUUUUUCUGGUAAGGGAUGGGCUCGCGGCCUAUCAGCUUGUUGGGGGUGAUGGCCUACCAAGGCUUUGACGGGUAGCCGGCCGGAGAGGGUGGACGGUCACACUGGGACUGAGAUACGGCCCAGACUCCUACGGGAGGCAGCAGUGGGGAAUAUUGCACAAUGGGCGCAAGCCUGAUGCAGCGACGCCGCGUGAGGGAUGAAGGCCUUCGGGUUGUAAACCUCUUUCGUCAGGGAACAAGGCACUGCUUUUUUGGUGGUGUUGAGGGUACCUGGAUAAGAAGCGCCGGCUAACUACGUG